rnacentral:miRNA from 1 species
CUUGGACCUCUGAUGGGAGCCCA